AGCGGCGGACGGGUGAGUAACGCGUGGGUAACCUGCCUCAUACAGGGGGAUAACAGUUGGAAACGGCUGCAAUACCGCAUAAGCGCACAGUACCGCAUGGUACCGUGUGAAAAACUCCGGUGGUAUGAGAUGGACCCGCGUCUGAUUAGCUAGUUGGUGGGGUAACGGCCUACCAAGCCGACGAUCAGUAGCCGACCUGAGAGGGUGACCGGCCACAUUGGGACUGAGACACGGCCCAA
rnacentral:rRNA from 1 species